CCUACGGGAGGCUGCAGUGGGGAAUAUUGGGCAAUGGGCGCAAGCCUGACCCAGCAACGCCGCGUGAAGGAAGAAGGCUCUCGGGUUGUAAACUUCUUUUCUCAGGGACGAAGCAAGUGACGGUACUUGAUGAAUAAGCCACGGCUAACUACGUGCCAGCAGCCGCGGUAAUACGUAGGUGGCAAGCGUUAUCCGGAUUUACUGGGUGUAAAGGGCGUGUAGGCGGGAAAGCAAGUCAGAUGUGAAAACCAUGGGCUCAACCCGUGGCCUGCAUUUGAAACUGUUUUUCUUGAGUGUUGGAGAGGCAGGCGGAAUUCCGUGUGUAGCGGUGAAAUGCGUAGAUAUUAGGAGGAACACCAGUGGCGAAGGCGGUCUGCUGGACAGCAACUGACGCUGAGGCGCGAAAGCGUGGGGAGCAAACAGGAUUAGAUACCCCAGUAGUC
rnacentral:rRNA from 1 species